rnacentral:rRNA from 1 species
UACGGAGGGUGCAAGCGUUACUCGGAAUCACUGGGCGUAAAGGACGCGUAGGCUGGUUGGUAAGUCAGAUGUGAAAUCCUACAGCUCAACUGUAGAACUGCAUUUGAAACUACUAACCUAGAGUAUGGGAGGGGGAGAUGGAAUUAGUGGUGUAGGGGUAAAAUCCGUAGAUAUCACUAGGAAUACCGAAAGCGAAGGCG